rnacentral:misc_RNA from 1 species
CCGAGUACCGGAGCCCUCGGGUUCCUACUCCCACCCUAUGUUGACUUUAAAACGUUGCUUUGGCAGACCGGUGAGUUCACCGCUGGCCCUGGUGGCUGGAGAGUCGUCUGCCAGAGGAAUUUUAAACUCUGUUAAUUGUAAAUUCCGAGUCUUGAGAAAUUGAAUCA